GGGAUUCCUGCGGUCGACGAUUCCUACGGGAGGCAGCAGUGAGGAAUAUUGGACAAUGGGCGCAAGCCUGAUCUAGCCAUGCCGCGUGGACGAUGAAGGCCUUAGGGUUGUAAAGUCCUUUCAGAUGGGAAGAUAAUGACGGUACCAUCAGAAGAAGCCCCGGCUAACUCCGUGCCAGCAGCCGCGGUAAUACGGAGGGGGCUAGCGUUGUUCGGAAUUACUGGGCGUAAAGCGCACGUAGGCGGAUUGGUAAGUUAGAGGUGAAAUCCCAGGGCUCAACCCUGGAACUGCCUUUAAUACUGCUAGUCUUGAGUUCGAGAGAGGUGAGUGGAAUUCCGAGUGUAGAGGUGAAAUUCGUAGAUAUUCGGAGGAACACCAGUGGCGAAGGCGGCUCACUGGCUCGAUACUGACGCUGAGGUGCGAAAGUGUGGGGAGCAAACAGGAUUAGAUACCCUGGUAGUCCACACCGUAAACGAUGAAUGCCAGUCGUCGGCAAGCAUGCUUGUCGGUGACACACCUAACGGAUUAAGCAUUCCGCCUGGGGAGUACGGUCGCAAGAUUAAAACUCAAAGGAAUUGACGG
rnacentral:rRNA from 1 species